GACGGGUAACGGGGAAUUAGGGUUCGAUUCCGGAGAGGGAGCCUGAGAAACGGCUACCACAUCUAAGGAAGGCAGCAGGCGCGCAAAUUACCCAAUCCUAAUACAGGGAGGUAGUGACAAGAAAUAACAAUACAGAACCUUACGGUUUUGUAAUUGGAAUGAGUUAAGUAUAAACCCCUUAACAAGUAUCAAUUGGAGGGCAAGUCUGGUGCCAGCAGCCGCGGUAAUUCCAGCUCCAAUAGCGUAUAUUAAAGUUGUUGCAGUUAAAAAGCUCGUAGUUAAUCUUCUGUUAAUUUUUAUAUAUAAUAUCACGAUAUUUAUAUAAUAUUAACAUAAUUCAUAUUACUUUUUAGUAUAUGAAACUUUACUUUGAGAAAAUUAGAGUGCUUAAAGCAGGCUAUUGCCUUGAAUACUCCAGCAUGGAAUAAUAUUAAGGAUUUUUAUUCUUCUUAUUGGUUCUAGAAUAAAAAUGAUGAUUAAUAGGGACAGUUGGGGGCAUUUGUAUUUAACAGUCAGAGGUGAAAUUCUUAGAUU
rnacentral:rRNA from 1 species